AUGACUGGAUCCACAUGUAACAUCAACACAUCAAAGUCAGAUACUGGAGUGUACUGGUGUGAGUCUGGAUCAGGAGAGUUCAGCAGUGCAGUCAACAUCACUGUACAGAAUGAUGGUAAUGGUCCUAUCCUGGUGAGUCCUGUUCAUCCUGUGACUGAGGGAGCUUCUGUUAGUCUGAGCUGCAGUUUGAAAACACAAAAAAUACUUUCCAAUGUGUUUUUCUAUCACAAUGACAAACUUAUUCAAAAUGAUACCCGAGGGGAGCUGAAGAUCUCUGCAGUGUCAAAGUCUGAUGAAGGUUUCUACAAGUGUCAGUACUCAGGAAGAGAGUCAGCACAGAGCUGGAUGUCAGUUAAAGUAACUGGACGCAGUUCAUCUCCUGUGUGGUUGAUGGUUGGACUGGUUUGUGGAGUCUCUCUCAUUAUUAUUCUCCUGCUCUUGUUGUAUCGCUGCAGACAGUCCAAGUGUAAGAGCCUCUUCUUUUCAUGCUGUAUUAGAGAGUUUAUUUACUACAUACACUUUAAUUAUUCACACAUAUACAUGUAUUCUGAUCUCAUGACACUAAAUAUCAGUGGAACAAUUUAUACAUGACAAACAUGUGUAAUAACAUUUGUCUCUUUCACAGAUUCCUGCUUCACCAGGUCGAUCCAGUCUGAGAGUCACAGUCCGGGCUCCUCCACAAAUCAUGGAGUCAACCAGGAUGAAACUCAUGUGUACGACUCUCUUCAACAUGGUACUGCUGACGUCUAUGAAUCAGUCACA